rnacentral:tRNA from 1 species
GCAGGAUGUAGCUCAAACAGAGCGUUGGUCUUGUAAACCAAAGGUUAGAUUUAGUUAUCUCACCUGCU